rnacentral:rRNA from 1 species
UAUAAUUAAGCGGAGGAAAAGAAACUAACUAGGAUUCCCUCAGUAACGGCGAGUGAAGCGGGACUAGCUCAGGAUGUGAAUCUGCGCUUUUAUGGCGCCGAAUUGUGGUCUGUAGACUUUGACGUUAUCUGCCGGGCCAAGUUCCUUGGAAAAGGACAGUUGAGAGGGUGAAACUCCCGUCCGCCUGGUAUAAUGAGUCUUUGUCAAAGAGUCGAGUUGUUUGGGAUUGCAGCUCUAAUUUGGUGGUAAAUUCCAUCUAAAGCUAAAUAUUGGUGGGAGACCGAUAGCGUACAAGUACCGUGAGGGAAAGAUGCAAAGAACUUUGAAAAGAGAGUUAAAGAGUACCUGAAAUUGCUGAAACGGAAGCGAAGGAAACCAGUGUUUGUUGGUUCAUAUUUCCCUGGCCACUUGUGGUUUGGGCGCUGUGAGCUUGCGUGGGUUUGGGUUGGUUGAUCCCUUUGGAAGAGCGCAGUCAGAGUUGAUGUCUGUUGCUAGCACUGGGUUUGACUGAUGCAGACGAAAUGGUUUUCUUUACCCCGUCUUGAAACACGGACCAAGGAGUCUAACAUAUGUGCGAGUACAGGGGUGUCAAACCCCGGUGCGUAAUGAAAGUGACAGUGGUUGGAUAUUUUGCACAAUCCGCCGGCCUCAAUCCUUCGGGAGAACGGUCUGAGUGUGAGCAUACAUGUUGGGACCCGAAAGAUGGUGAACUAUGCCUGAAUAGGGUGAAGCCAGGGGAAACUCUGGUGGAGGCUCGUAGCGAUUCUGACGUGCAAAUCGAUCGUCAAAUUUGGGUAUAGGGGCGAAAGACUAAUCGAACCAUCUAGUAGCUGUUUUCCCUCCGAAACAUUUAAAU